GCCCAGACUCCUACGGGAGGCAGCAGUGGGGAAUAUUGCACAAUGGGGGAAGCCCUGAUGCAGCGACGCCGCGUGAGUGAAGAAGUAUUUCGGUAUGUAAAGCUCUAUCAGCAGGGAAGAAAAUGACGGUACCUGACUAAGAAGCCCCGGCUAACUACGUGCCAGCAGCCGCGGUAAUACGUAGGGGGCAAGCGUUAUCCGGAUUUACUGGGUGUAAAGGGAGCGUAGGCGGUUCAGCAAGUCAGAAGUGAAAGCCCGGGGCUCAACUCCGGGACUGCUUUUGAAACUGUUAAGCUUGAGUGCAGGAGAGGUAAGCGGAAUUCCUAGUGUAGCGGUGAAAUGCGUAGAUAUUAGGAGGAACGCCAGUGGCGAAGGCGGCUUACUGGACUGUAACUGACACUGAGGCUCGAAAGCGUGGGGAGCAAACAGGAUUAGAUACCCCGGUA
rnacentral:rRNA from 1 species